AAAUUUAGGUUUUAUUAUAUGUCAUCGUCACAACUUGCAAUCUAUGCAGCAGAUUUUGUAUAGAUUGAUUAUCACACUCAUGUCCAGUUUAUGAAUAAUAUACGAGUUCAUAGAAAAUUGUAUAUGGAGUAAAUGGGUUAUAUUAGAUAACUUAUAAGAAAAUUACAUAUAUAUAUAUAUAUAUAUAUAUAUAUAGAGCUAGGCUACUAUACUAUCUAUAGUACCGAGCUCCGGUACUAUAGUGUUUGUUUUCGAUCUUAGGGCGUUCAAAUCAACGAUCCACACCGUUAAAUAUGAUCUAGGGUAUAUGAAUUUCUUAGGAAUAAAAUUUUAGUUUUUUUCGAUAUCGUUUACUUAGUAAAUAAAUUAUAUCAAAAUGGACGGUGGAAAUUGAAUAAUCUUUAAAAUUUGAGCAUAGGACUUUUAAAUUCAAGAUCAAGAAUGUUAACCUUAAUCUAUAUAGUUUAAAGUAUUUUCUAUCAAAAUUUGAAGAAAUUUAGAUUCUUCUACACCGUUAAACUCCAAACUCGUCAUAAUAGCCGUUGAAAAUUGACAAUUUUGAAAUAGUUUGAUCAUAAAAUAAACUAUGUCGAAAAAAUAUAAAAUUUUAUUUCUAGAAACUUUAAAUACCCUAGAUCAGUUUUAACGGUAUGGAUCGUUGAUUUGAACGCCCUAAGAUCGAAAAUCAAUACUAUAGUACCGGAACUCGGUACUAUAGAUAGUAUAGUAGCCUAGCUCUAUAUAUAUAUAUAUAUAUAUAUAUAUAUAUGCAUGGUACUCAAUUUCAUUAGAUUAACUCUUUUCAUCUUGCUCAACCUUUCAUAUCUGUCACAAGUAAUCUAAUGGCAAAAGCUGGGAGGUGUUUUAACCAAAUUAUAGGAAAACCAUCAAUGUUUAACCAAAUUAUAGGAAAACCAUCAACAUCUAGGACUUUGAAGCACCAUUGUGAAGAACUAAUCCUAGAUGAUGAUACGGAUGUAAAAUAAUAAUUUAAGGAAUCAAGAAAUGAGUAGUUAUCACUGAUUGGAUAAAGUCAAUUAUAUUAGCCAUGUCAAAAGCUAUCAUCUGUCAAUAAAUUGUGGCAGCUCACCAAAUUCACAAAUAUUUCCUUAGCAAGCAGCUCCACAACAAAAAUUACUAGAAUUAAAUUUAAUUCUCAAUUCAUGCCAGGUCAUCUAAUAUUUGAAGGAAAUGGAGGGCUUGGUCGACCAAGGAACCAAGUUAUAGCUUUACAACCAAAUUCCAUUCUGGAUUCAAGAAGCAUACAAAUCCAGAAGGUCACAAUUGAUGUGACAUCCAAAUUUAAUAAAAUUUAUUCAAGCCAUAGCAUAUCAAUUUCAAUAGGAUCCUCGGAUGUGGUAACCAACAUUUUUCUUUUAAUCACAUUCAUUCAUCUGGAAUUGAAAGAGUCCACCUCUCUAUGUAGUCAACCUAUAAAGGAUGACUACGGUUGUUAUUAAAGCACUUUUUCAAUAGGAAGAGUUGUCACUCAAAAGACUUCAUCAGCAAAGAGGGGACCAGGGAAAAGAAACCAACCAUCCAAAUCAACCCAACUGCAGCAUGAUUAAGUAAUUUCUAAACAUAUCUUCACCGUCAGUUUAAGUUAGUUCGCUACUUUACUCAAUUACUCAAACAAAAGUUUAUAGCAUUUCCACCAAAGCUUGUCAAAAAGUUUAAAAAGGUAAUUUUUAAAUUACGAAAACGAAGAGGAUCUAUUGAAUGAUAUUUGUAGUUGAUACGCUUGUAUUUUUGGAAAUUUGUGGCCAACUUACCUCAAUCUUGUUCUUGUCACAGAAUCUAACCACAAGAAAAAUCUAACCACAAGAAAAAAAUAAUAAUAAUAAGACAAGUUUGAAUCACUAUCACGUGUAUUAAGACAAAUUGACUUUGUGAAAGCUUUUUGAUUUAACUCACAUUUUGCGCCCCGGAGGACAAAUUCAAAACGAAGUUGUAUAUAAUCGAUGUGAUGUUCACCCAAUUGCAAGGUGGAAUCUUUUAAAUCCUAGAUGUGCAAAGAAAUGGUGGCACUACAACCAAACUUCUUUACUCCAACAUUGUUUUAGACUGCACUAUUGAGAGGUCCAACAUCAUACUAAAAAUUGCAUUAAAUUUUCUAAUUAUAGUAUAGCAAAAAUUAAAAUGUUACAAAUUUUAGGGGCCAAAGUGAAUUUUUUUUUCAUACAAAGCUUAUUUUUUAUAAAUCCAACUUCUGUUAUAACUUGUUUUAUAAAUUUCUUUUAAAAUAAAUAUAUUAUAUAUUUUUUAUCUCUUCGAGCCUAAAUUCUGGCUUAGUCCCUGGUUUUAUAGGCGAGCAUUAAACAACUUGCCCCUCUUGUCAACAAUUGUUUGAGUGCUCAACCCCUAGUGUUAUUUGGGUCCUUCUAAGAUUUUGUUUUUCUCCUCCUUUAAUCUUUAUUUUAGGGCUCUCACACCCGAUAAUCCCCCUCCCUCACUCCUCGAAGCCUUCCCCUUUAGAAUCCGAACUCAUAAGUACUCAAAAUCUCAGUUAUAACUACUAAGCUAUAUGGCCAUUGCUCUAUUCUUGAAUUGGAUAAAAUAAGAGGAAAAAAACAUCUAACUAUUUAUUUUCUAAAGUGCUGCUACAAAUUUCUCGUAAUAUUGUAUUUAUAUAUUGUUGACGUGUUGGCACUAUAAUAUAGAGAGAUUUGAUUGGUU
rnacentral:lncRNA from 1 species